CCUCCCUCCCUGCCUCCACCCUUGCCUACGUGUCAGUUUCAUGUCUCUGCAUGCACAGAAGCUGGAAGAAGAUGAGUCUUGGAAUUGGGGCAUUAGCUUUUGAACCAUGGAAAGAAGGUCACAGGCUGAUAAACCAGAGACAAAUGGACCCAAUUACCAGGCUGCCUGAUGCCAACUAUGACUGUUUUGAAAUAAUGCAAGGACAAAAAGAAUGCAAGACCUUCACUACUUUGAUCCUUAUCAUAUACCCUGGACUGCAAGCCCCGCAUAUAAAAUCUUCUCUAAUUCCCUGAAUGGUGGGGGGGGGGG